rnacentral:rRNA from 1 species
AAAACUAACAAGGAUUCCCCUAGUAACUGCGAGUGAAGCGGGAAAAGCUCAAAUUUAAAAUCUGGCAGUCUCUGGCUGUCCGAGUUGUAAUCUAGAGAAGUGAUGCCCGCGCUGGACCGUGUACAAGUCUCCUGGAAUGGAGCGUCAUAGAGGGUGAGAAUCCCGUCUCUGACACGGACUACCAGGGCUUUGUGGUAUGCUCUCAAAGAGUCGAGUUGUUUGGGAAUGCAGCUCUAAAUGGGUGGUAAAUUCCAUCUAAAGCUAAAUAUUGGCGAGAGACCGAUAGCGAACAAGUACCGUGAGGGAAAGAUGAAAAGAACUUUGGAAAGAGAGUUAAACAGUACGUGAAAUUGCUGAAAGGGAAACGCUUGAAGUCAGUCGCGUUGGCCAGGAAUCAGCCUCGCUCUUGCGUGGUGUACUUUCUGGUUGACGGGUCAGCAUCAAUUUUGACUGCUGGAAAAAGGCCUAGGGAAUGUGGCAGCUUCGGCUGUGUUAAAGCCCUUUGUCACAUACAGCAGUUGGGAUUGAGGAACUCAGCACGCCGCAAGGCCGGGUUUCGACCACGUUCGUGCUUAGGAUGCUGGCAUAAUGGCUUUAAGCGACCCGUCUUGAAACACGGACCAAGGAGUCUAACAUGCCUGCGAGUAUUUGGGUGGUAAACCCGAGUGCGUAAUGAAAGUGAAAGUUGAGAUCCCUGUCGUGGGGAGCACCGACGCCCGGACCUAAGCUUUUGUGACGGCUCCGCGGUAGAGCAUGUAUGUUGGGACCCGAAAGAUGGUGAACUAUGCCUGAAUAGGGUGAAGCCAGAGGAAACUCUGGUGGAGGCUCGUAGCGAUUCUGACGUGCAAAUCGAUCGUCAAAUUUGGGUAUAGGGGGCGAAAGACUAAUCGAACCAUCUAGUAGCUGGUUCCUGCCGAAUUUU